UAGGGAAUCUUCGGCAAUGGACGAAAGUCUGACCGAGCAACGCCGCGUGAGUGAAGAAGGUUUUCGGAUCGUAAAACUCUGUUGUUAGAGAAGAACAAGGACGUUAGUAACUGAACGUCCCCUGACGGUAUCUAACCAGAAAGCCACGGCUAACUACGUGCCAGCAGCCGCGGUAAUACGUAGGUGGCAAGCGUUGUCCGGAUUUAUUGGGCGUAAAGCGAGCGCAGGCGGUUUCUUAAGUCUGAUGUGAAAGCCCCCGGCUCAACCGGGGAGGGUCAUUUGAAACUGGGAGACUUGAGUGCAGAAGAGGAGAGUGGAAUUCCAUGUGUAGCGGUGAAAUGCGUAGAUAUAUGGAGGAACACCAGUGGCGAAGGCGGCUCUCUGGUCUGUAACUGACGCUGAGGCUCGAAAGCGUGGGGAGCAAACAGG
rnacentral:rRNA from 2 species